rnacentral:rRNA from 1 species
UACAGAGGUCCCGAGCGUUGUUCGGAUCCAUUGGGCGUAAAGGGUGCGUAGGCGGUCUGCUAAGUUUGAUGUGAAAUCCCGGGGCUCAACCCUGGAAUUGCAUUGAAUACUGGUGGACUAGAGUACUGGAGAGGAAACUGGAAUUUACGGUGUAGCAGUGAAAUGCGUAGAGAUCGUAAGGAAGACCAGUGGCGAAGGCGAGUUUCUGGACAGUAACUGACGCUGAGGCACGAAGGCCAGGGGAGCAAACGGG